rnacentral:rRNA from 1 species
GACGAACGCUGGCGGCGUGCUUAACACAUGCAAGUCGAGCGAUGAAGUUCCUUCGGGAAUGGAUUAGCGGCGGACGGGUGAGUAACACGUGGGUAACCUGCCUCAUAGAGGGGAAUAGCCUUCCGAGAGGAAGAUUAAUACCGCAUAAGAUUGUAGUGCCGCAUGGCAUAGCAAUUAAAGGAGUAAUCCGCUAUGAGAUGGACCCGCGUCGCAUUAGCUAGUUGGUGAGGUAACGGCUCACCAAGGCGACGAUGCGUAGCCGACCUGAGAGGGUGAUCGGCCACAUUGGGACUGAGACACGGCCCAGACUCCUACGGGAGGCAGCAGUGGGGAAUAUUGCACAAUGGGGGAAACCCUGAUGCAGCAACGCCGCGUGAGUGAUGAAGGUCUUCGGAUUGUAAAACUCUGUCUUCAGGGACGAUAAUGACGGUACCUGAGGAGGAAGCCACGGCUAACUACGUGCCAGCCGCCGCCGUAACAC